UACGAAGGGGGCUAGCGUUGCUCGGAAUUACUGGGCGUAAAGGGCGCGUAGGCGGGUCGUUUAGUUAGAGGUGAAAGCCCAGGGCUCAACCCUGGAAUUGCCUUUAAUACUGGCGGCCUUGAGUAUGGCAGAGGUGUGUGGAACUCCGAGUGUAGAGGUGAAAUUCGUAGAUAUUCGGAAGGACACCAGUGGCGAAGGCGACACACUGGGCCAUUACUGACGCUGAGGCGCGAAAGCGUGGGGAGCAAACAGG
rnacentral:rRNA from 1 species